rnacentral:rRNA from 1 species
UACGUAGGGUGCGAGCGUUAAUCGGAAUUACUGGGCGUAAAGCGUGCGCAGGCGGUUUUGUAAGUCAGAUGUGAAAUCCCCGGGCUUAACCUGGGAACUGCGUUUGAAACUACAAGGCUAGAGUGUAGCAGAGGGGGGUGGAAUUCCACGUGUAGCAGUGAAAUGCGUAGAGAUGUGGAGGAACACCGAUGGCGAAGGCACUUUACUGGGCUAUUACUGACACUCAGAGACGAAAGCUAGGGUAGCAAAUGGG